rnacentral:rRNA from 1 species
AGGUAACAUUAAAUCGUACCCCAAACCGACACAGGUGGUCAGGUAGAGAAUACCAAGGCGCUUGAGAGAACUCGGGUGAAGGAACUAGGCAAAAUGGUGCCGUAACUUCGGGAGAAGGCACGCUGGCAUGUAGGUGAAGUCCCUUGCGGAUGGAGCUGAAGCCAGUCGAAGAUACCAGCUGGCUGCAACUGUUUAAUAAAAACACAGCACUGUGCAAACACGAAAGUGGACGUAUACGGUGUGACGCCUGCCCGGUGCUGGAAGGUUAAUUGAUGGGGUCAGCCGCAAGGCGAAGCUCUUGAUCGAAGCCCCAGUAAACGGCGGCCGUAACUAUAACGGUCCUAAGGUAGCGAAAUUCCUUGUCGGGUAAGUUCCGACCUGCACGAAUGGCGUAAUGAUGGCCAGGCUGUCUCCACCCGAGACUCAGUGAAAUUGAACUCGCUGUGAAGAUGCAGUGUACCCGCGGCAAGACGGAAAGACCCCGUGAACCUUUACUAUAGCUUGACACUGAACAUUGAGCCUUGAUGUGUAGGAUAGGUGGGAGGCUUUGAAGCGUGGACGCCAGUCUGCGUGGAGCCAUCCUUGAAAUACCACCCUUUAAUGUUUGAUGUUCUAACUCGGCCCCAUAAUCUGGGGUGAGGACAGUGUCUGGUGGGUAGUUUGACUGGGGCGGUCUCCUCCCAAAGAGUAACGGAGGAGCACGAAGGUUAGCUAAUCACGGUCGGACAUCGUGAGGUUAGUGCAAAGGCAUAAGCUAGCUUGACUGCGAGAGUGACGGCUCGAGCAGGUACGAAAGUAGGUCUUAGUGAUCCGGUGGUUCUGAAUGGAAGGGCCAUCGCUCAACGGAUAAAAGGUACUCCGGGGAUAACAGGCUGAUACCGCCCAAGAGUUCAUAUCGACGGCGGUGUUUGGCACCUCGAUGUCGGCUCAUCACAUCCUGGGGCUGAAGUAGGUCCCAAGGGUAUGGCUGUUCGCCAUUUAAAGUGGUACGCGAGCUGGGUUUAGAACGUCGUGAGACAGUUCGGUCCCUAUCUGCCGUGGGCGUUGGAAGAUUGAGAGGGGUUGCUCCUAGUACGAGAGGACCGGAGUGAACGCACCACUGGUGUUCGGGUUGUCAUGCCAAUGGCAUUGCCCGGUAGCUAAGUGCGGAAAAGAUAAGCGCUGAAAGCAUCUAAGCGCGAAACUUGCCUCAAGAUGAGUCUUCCCUGGGCCUUCAAGGCCCCUGAAGGAACGUUUAAGACUAAGACGUUGAUAGGCUGGGUGUGUAAGUGCAGCGAUGCAUUGAGCUAACCAGUACUAAUGAUCCGUGAGGCUUAACCUU